GAUGGACCACCGGCAAGCGCGGGGCUCUGGGACGACGCCUCGCCCACCGUUGCGCUUGCGCGCACCUCCGCCCCCUUCCUGCUCCCCACUACCCCUUCCUCCCCGGCAGAGUCCGGUUGCGCCUGCGCGCAGCUCUCAGUGGACGGCCAAGGGUUAAGUUCACACGUCCAUUUCGCAGUCUCGGAGACUGAGGCCGGGAAGGGCUCUGCGGCCCUGGGUUGGCAGCGCGGGGGUGCCAGCUCCUCUCCCCGGCCUCGGCCCGCGUGACCGCAGUGACUCAUGCGGCGCCGUGCGCCCCGGAGGAGCCGACCCGGGGAAACAGGCGCAAGAUCAAAUAAAGAAGGCGUCUGGUGGCACGGGAGGAGCAGGGAACCACAGCUGGGCAGGGAACAGCGCUGUCCCGAGGUGGCCGCUGAGCUGAGGUCCAGAACAUUGUGUGGAAUGGGCGGUUCCUGCAGGCUCUUGACUCACCUGGACACUGUGGUCCUCGCUGGAAGGCCAACUCCACUGAGCAAGGAUGUUUCCUGCCUGGUUCUCUGUCUCACUCCGUGUCCAGGCAGACAGCAGAAAGAAAAGGAAAACAAGAACACCACGUCUGUUUGUCCAGCUCCUGUGUAUGGUGGAUAUAGCAGCAUCAGAAAUAAAAUUAAAAUCAAAAACGCAAAAUUCAAG